UAGGGAAUCUUCGGCAAUGGGGGGAACCCUGACCGAGCAACGCCGCGUGAGUGAAGAAGGUUUUCGGAUCGUAAAGCUCUGUUGUUAAGGAAGAACGAGUGUGAGAAUGGAAAGUUCAUGCUGUGACGGUACUUAACCAGAAAGGGACGGCUAACUACGUGCCAGCAGCCGCGGUAAUACGUAGGUCCCGAGCGUUGUCCGGAUUUAUUGGGCGUAAAGCGCGCGCAGGUGGUUUAGAAAGUCUGAUGUGAAAGCCCACGGCUCAACCGUGGAGGGUCAUUGGAAACUAAUAAACUUGAGUGCAGGAGAGAAAAGUGGAAUUCCUGGUGUAGCGGUGAAAUGCGUAGAGAUUAGGAGGAACACCGGUGGCGAAAGCGGCUUUUUGGCCUGCAACUGACACUGAGGCGCGAAAGCGUGGGGAGCAAACAGG
rnacentral:rRNA from 1 species